rnacentral:rRNA from 1 species
GAUGAACGCUGGCGGCGUGCCUAAUACAUGCAAGUCGAGCGAACGGACGAGAAGCUUGCUUCUCUGAUGUUAGCGGCGGACGGGUGGGUAACACGUGGAUAACCUACCUAUAAGACUGGGAUAACUUCGGGAAACCGGAGCUAAUACCGGAUAAUAUUUUGAACCGCAUGGUUCAAAAGUGAAAGACGGUCUUGCUGUCACUUAUAGAUGGAUCCGCGCUGCAUUAGCUAGUUGGUAAGGUAACGGCUUACCAAGGCAACGAUGCAUAGCCGACCUGAGAGGGUGAUCGGCCACACUGGAACUGAGACACGGUCCAGACUCCUACGGGAGGCAGCAGUAGGGAAUCUUCCGCAAUGGGCGAAAGCCUGACGGAGCAACGCCGCGUGAGUGAUGAAGGUCUUCGGAUCGUAAAACUCUGUUAUUAGGGAAGAACAUAUGUGUAAGUAACUGUGCACAUCUUGACGGUACCUAAUCAGAAAGCCACGGCUAACUACGUGCCAGCAGCCGCGGUAAUACGUAGGUGGCAAGCGUUAUCCGGAAUUAUUGGGCGUAAAGCGCGCGUAGGCGGUUUUUUAAGUCUGAUGUGAAAGCCCACGGCUCAACCGUGGAGGGUCAUUGGAAACUGGAAAACUUGAGUGCAGAAGAGGAAAGUGGAAUUCCAUGUGUAGCGGUGAAAUGCGCAGAGAUAUGGAGGAACACCAGUGGCGAAGGCGACUUUCUGGUCUGUAACUGACGCUGAUGUGCGAAAGCGUGGGGAUCAAACAGGAUUAGAUACCCUGGUAGUCCACGCCGUAAACGAUGAGUGCUAAGUGUUAGGGGGUUUCCGCCCCUUAGUGCUGCAGCUAACGCAUUAAGCACUCCGCCUGGGGAGUACGACCGCAAGGUUGAAACUCAAAGGAAUUGACGGGGACCCGCACAAGCGGUGGAGCAUGUGGUUUAAUUCGAAGCAACGCGAAGAACCUUACCAAAUCUUGACAUCCUUUGACAACUCUAGAGAUAGAGCUUUCCCCUUCGGGGGACAAAGUGACAGGUGGUGCAUGGUUGUCGUCAGCUCGUGUCGUGAGAUGUUGGGUUAAGUCCCGCAACGAGCGCAACCCUUAAGCUUAGUUGCCAUCAUUAAGUUGGGCACUCUAAGUUGACUGCCGGUGACAAACCGGAGGAAGGUGGGGAUGACGUCAAAUCAUCAUGCCCCUUAUGAUUUGGGCUACACACGUGCUACAAUGGACAAUACAAAGGGCAGCGAAACCGCGAGGUCAAGCAAAUCCCAUAAAGUUGUUCUCAGUUCGGAUUGUAGUCUGCAACUCGACUACAUGAAGCUGGAAUCGCUAGUAAUCGUAGAUCAGCAUGCUACGGUGAAUACGUUCCCGGGUCU